rnacentral:rRNA from 1 species
CUACGGGAGGCAGCAGUGGGGAAUCUUGCGCAAUGGGCGAAAGCCUGACGCAGCAACGCCGCGUGCGGGAAGAAGGCUCUCGGGUUGUAAACCGCUUUCAGCAGGAACGAAAAUGACGGUACUUGCAGAAGAAGGUGCGGCCAACUACGUGCCAGCAGCCGCGGUGACACGUAGGCACCAAGCGUUGUCCGGAUUUAUUGGGCGUAAAGAGCUCGUAGGCGGUUCGGUAAGUCGGGUGUGAAAACUUUGGGCUUAACCCAAAGCCUGCAUCCGAUACUGCUGUGACUAGAGUUCGGUAGGGGAGUGGGGAAUUCCUAGUGUAGCGGUGAAAUGCGCAGAUAUUAGGAGGAACACCGGUGGCGAAGGCGCCACUCUGGGCCGAUACUGACGCUGAGGAGCGAAAGCGUGGGUAGCAAACAGGAUUAGAUACCCUGGUAGUCC